rnacentral:tRNA from 1 species
GCACUGAUAGCUCAGCGGUAGAGCAAUCGGCUGCAGUUUGCCAAAAAUACAUCCGAUAGUAAGGAUUGCCUAAACUUACACAACAUCAUCACAGCUUGACACUAACAAAUCACUUCCAGGGUCCUCGGUUCAAAUCCGGGUCAGUGCU